UGUGUGUGUGCUGGAUGAUUGUGUGUGUGUGCUUGAUGAUUGUGUGUGUGUGCUGGAUGAUUGUGUGUGUGCGUGCUGGAUGAUGUGUGUGUGUGUGUGUGUGCUGGAUGAUGUGUGUGUGUGUGUGUGCUGGAUUAUGUGUGUGUGAGUGCUGGAUGAUGUGUGUGUGUGCUGGAUGAUGUGUGUGUGAGUGCUGGAUGAUGUGUGUGUGAGUGCUGGAUGAUGUGUGUGUGUGUGUGAGUGCUG